rnacentral:rRNA from 1 species
AUGAAGCGCAAGAACAAGGAGCAGAGGAGGGCAGAUGGAAUCACCGAUAGAGGCAGUGAUUCGCUGGAGACCAUGCGGCCGAACAAGAAGCAGAGGUUGGGCGGUGGCAGCGGUAGCGAUGAGGAGACCUCGCCCUACCUGGUGGUAGGUCAUGGGAGCGUGAGCCCUGCCUUCUCCGUGUUCAAGGUGGAACCCUACACCGACGGCGGCGGCGACACCCCGGUGAGCAUCCCGCGCCGCCUCGCCCGCCUCAAAUGCAAACACAACAUGUCUUUCGUCCCUUUGAGAUUGAAGGACCGCCGGUGGAUCGUCGGCGUCGGCGGCAGCUCAACCGAGAACUACUACGGCCCGGGGACCAUCAUUUUCGACACCGAGAAGCAGUUGGUGAUCCGGGGACCGGAACCUAAGUCGAUCAAGAGCCACCCGAUCCUGCUACCCAUCGACCAGAAGAUCUACGCCCUUUCCCGAAGCCCCUCAGUGAAGGGACCGCUCGAUUACUUGCCCUGGUUCGAGGUCCUCGAUCUCUCCCAGGCACAGGAAGUUGACGGCUGUCUAACCAACUGCAAGUGGAGCUCCCUGCAGCGGCCGCCCUUCUUUCCCUGGGAGCUCACCCCACGGCAGUACUUAUGUCCACCGAGGGUUGCCGUCGAGUCAUACGUCGCCGUGGGCUCCCACAUACUGGUUUCUGUGACCGGACGGGUGGGCACGUACGCUUUUGACACGAAGGGCUCGAAGAAGUGGGUGACGGUGGAUGACGAGAACAACCUGCCGUUCAGCGAUGGUGCCAUCCCGCACGGAGGUGGGCUCUUCCUCGGCUUAUCAAGCACCACAAAGGCCAUCACUGGAUACAAGAUUAAUAUCGGCACUAGUGGCUUCUGCUUGGUGACCUGUUGGAGUGUUGACGAAUCGCCGUAUCCCCCGUAUCACCGGGCGCACAUCAGGGUGAGGACGUACAGAACAGAUGAUUUUGUGGAGUCGGAGGGAAAAUGCUUAGUCGUCUCCAAGCAGUGGAUGCAGGUUUACAAGAUCCGCGAUUUGAUCCGGACACUAGAUGCGCCAUGUCUGGUUGGUGUGGUCUACAUAUGA